rnacentral:lncRNA from 1 species
UUUUUCUUUUUUUUUUUUCUUUGUAUUUUCUAGGGCUGCACCUGGGGCAUAUGGAGGUUCCCAGGCUAGGGGUCUAAUUUGGAGCUGUAGCCGCCGGCCUAUGCCAGAGUCACAGCACCGGGGGAUCUGAGCCGCGUCUGAAACCUACACCACAGCUCAUGGCAACGCCGGAUCCUUAACCCACUGAGUGAGGCCAGGGAUCGAACCCACAACCUCAAGGUUCCUAGCCGGAUUUGUUAAUCACUAAGCCACGACGGGAACUCCCAUUUAACAACUUGCGAUUAAGCACCUGGUAUAUACCAUGGUUCUAGGUACCAGAGAUACACUAAUGCACAAAAGAACACUGUGUGCUACCUUGGUGGUUCUGUUCUAUCAAGAGAAAAUAGACCAUAAACAAAUAAAGCUGUCCAUAAAACCAUCCCUGCUCAUUCUGGCCCAAAGUCAUUUUUCUGUCCUCUUAAGAGUGAUGGAGUACAACACACAUUUGGGAACUAGACGACACAGAGUGGAGGCAUAGCAUAUACACACUGAUGGUAAGUGAGCCUGGCUGGAAGUCCCACAGCGCUUCCAUUAGGGAGAUGAUGGGGCCGAUCAAUCUGAAAGAGGCCAUUCGUAUUGCAACAUCUCAGUAAUUUUAGGGCUUCUUCUGGCUUUUGGUAAAGAAGUAAAAUAUUGUCUAUAUUUUUUGGACAAUUUAAGAAAUGAUCAAAAUAAUUUUGACUAUUCCUUUUUUUUCACGUUAUGCAAUAAAUUUAAGACCUAAUUUAUUUCCCAUCCCUGCUUCUUCCCAAGUAGACACUACUGUAUUUUUCAUUAUUUUUCUCUAAUUGAAAAACUACUUAGGUAAGGGAGUUCCCAUCGUGGCUCAGUGGGUAACGAACCCAACUAGCAUCCAUGAGGAUGAGGGUUCGAUCCCUGGCCCAGGAACUUCCAUAUACUGCCUGUGUGGCAUGCGUGCACACUUACACACACACACACACACACACACACAAGAGAACCUGAAAUAAACAUUGCAACUCUCAUUAAAAAAAAAAAGAAUUCUACUUCUUGCCAGACAAAGAGGGGAAACCCUUAAGGUACCUUGAACUUAAGAGUCCAUCCUCAGUGUACUUUCUUUUUUUGGCUUUUUAGGGCCACACUUGAGGCAUAUGGAAGUUCCCAGGCUAGGGGGCGAAUCGGAGCUGCAACUGCUGCCCUCCACCCCAGCCACAGCUACAUGGAUCCAAGCCACAUUUGCGACCUACACCAGAGCUCACGGCAACACCAGAUCCCCCAACCCACUAAGGGGGGCCAAGGAUGGAACCUGUGUCCUCAUGGAUCCUAGUCGGGUUCCUUACUGGUGAGCAUGAUGGGAACUCUCCGGGUACUCUUUCAGUACAUAAUACCCAACACUUUACUCUUUACUGUCUGCCUCCCAACUAAGAUUCGAACUCCACAGGACAAGGAACUACCAAAGAAGAUAAUAUUUCUUACAAACUCUAAGUGUGGUUACAUAGAGGAUGGUAUUCUUUUUCCCCCAGCUUCUAUCUCUUAAUUACUAGGGUGCCAGCUUAGAAUUGAAAUAUAUCUUUCCCUUUGGUAGAAAAAAAAUUUUAAGUAGAUGUACCUCUCUCAAGUUGGCUUAAGGACCAAACUGAGCUCCUGGAUUUCUCAAGAGCUCCCUUCACACAGAAUAAGGCGCCAAACCAAUAACACAGCUGGUCUUGCUUACAUUUCAGAUAACGUCAAAACUCUCAGCCCCCUUCCUUCCUGGGUCCCAAGGACCACUCUUGGAUCCAAACCGAUAAACAAACAAAAAUAGAGACAAAACACAUACAAAGGUCACAAUUUGGUAUCUGCUUAAGAGUCAGGUAAUUCAAUAUAAACCAAAGCCAAACUAAACAAAAACCCUGUUAGGAAAAACCAUGAAAAAUUUAGAAAUAAGGAUAACUUCAUGCCCUUUCGAUAUUACACUGGAUUGGAGUUCCCACAGUGGCUCAGCAGUAACAAACCCAACUAGAUCCAUGAGGAUUCAGGUUCAAUCCCUGGCCUCACUUAGUGGGUUCAGGAUCCAGGUGCUGGAUUGCGUUGCCAGUCACAGAUGUGGCUCAGAUCCCAAGUUGCUGUGGCUGUGGUCUAGGCCGGCACCUGUGGCUCCAAUUUGACCCCUAACCUGGGACCUACCAUAUGCCGCAGGUGCGGCCCUAAAAAGACAAAAUAUAUAUACAUCAAUCACACUGGAUCAUGGCCUAACAGGCCCACCCAAGGAUUAUUUAGUAGUGCAAGAUAAGGCCCCUUUGUUUGGCUUACCAUUUAUUAUCCGUCAGGGUCCAGACUGCUGUUACCUGCUAAUUGGUAGAUUUUUGUCAUUUGAUGCAAAUGAAUUUUCUGUGGUAGAAAGAUAACCCCAAAGAUUACACUUUCACUGCCCUAUACAAUCAUAACCAGCAUCCAGUCUUACAACCUUACGUCAGCCUUCUGGAAGUGUUCCCAUGUACUGAAUCUGGAAUUUGGGGCAAAUCGGCUUUACCCUGCUGUUGACGGCCACACUCAUGAGGGAGGCCAAGGCACGCAGGCCAUGUGCUCAUUUUGUAGGAGAAUCUUAUUUUCAUGGCUACAGAAUACAGGAAAGGGAAACUGUCACUGUCCGAUCAAGGGCAACAAAAGACUGUGAAUCAACUGCAUUAUCCAUUCUUCAGCCAGCUGACUAUUGAUCCUCUAGUGCUACUGCUGAAUUAUUUACUUAAAAAAUCUAGUAAUUACAAAGUAUCAGGUGACUGUUUGUAUUCUUUAGUGCACACUAUUUUAUCCCUAAAGUGCACAUUAAUAUUUUAUGAUUAGAGUGGCCAGAAGAUAAAGUAUAUACUAAAUGCUGCGUCUACCUGUGCUUUCCUCUUAAUGCAGCUUUACGCUGUAUUUACGCUGGACCUACUGAGGACUACUGCAUUUUCUCUUUUAAAACCACCUGGAUUUUUGGGAG